rnacentral:rRNA from 1 species
GACGAACGCUGGCGGCGUGCUUAACACAUGCAAGUCGAACGGAAAGGCCCUGCUUGCAGGGUACUCGAGUGGCGAACGGGUGAGUAACACGUGGGUGAUCUGCCCUGCACUUCGGGAUAAGCCUGGGAAACUGGGUCUAAUACCGGAUAGGAGCCAUUUUUAGUGUGAUGGUUGGAAAGUUUUUUCGGUGUAGGAUGAGCUCGCGGCCUAUCAGCUUGUUGGUGGGGUAAUGGCCUACCAAGGCGGCGACGGGUAGCCGGCCUGAGAGGGUGGACGGCCACAUUGGGACUGAGAUACGGCCCAGACUCCGACGGGAGGCAGCAGGGGGGAAUAUUGCACAAUGGGCGCAAGCCUGAUGCAGCGACGCCGCGUGGGGGAUGACGGCCUUCGGGUUGUAAACUCCUUUCGCUAGGGACGAAGCUUUUUGUGACGGUACCUAGAUAAGAAGCACCGGCUAACUACGUG